rnacentral:rRNA from 1 species
UACGAAGGGGGCAAGCGUUGUUCGGAAUCACUGGGCGUAAAGCGUACGCAGGCGGAUCUGUCAGUCAGGGGUGAAAUCCCGGGGCUCAACCCCGGAAUUGCCUUUGAUACUACAGGUCUAGAGUCCGUGAGAGGAGUGUGGAAUUCCUAGUGUAGAGGUGAAAUUCGUAGAUAUUAGGAGGAACACCAGUGGCGAAGGCGACACUCGGGCGCGGUACUGACGAUCAUGUACGAAAGUGUGGGGAGCAAACAGG